rnacentral:sRNA from 1 species
CUUUUUUGUGUUUUUUC